rnacentral:rRNA from 1 species
AAUAUUGCGCAAUGGAGGAAACUCUGACGCAGCGACGCCGCGUGAGCGAUGAAGGUCUUCGGAACGUAAAGCUCUGUCCUUUGGGAAGGAGAUCGAAAGAUUUGACGGUACCAGAGGCGGAAGCUCCGGCUAACUACGUGCCAGCAGUCGCGGUAAUACGUAGGGGGCAAGCGUUGUCCGGAAUUAUUGGGCGUAACGGGUGCGUAGGCGUCUUUUUAAGUCAGAUGUGAAAGGCCACGGCUUAACCGUGGGGUUGCAUUUGAAACUGGAAGGCUUGAGUAUCGGAGAGGGUAGUGGAAUUCCAAGUGUAGCGGUGAAAUGCGUAGAUAUUGGGAGGGACACCAGUGGCGAAGGCGACUACCUGGACGAAAACUGACGCUGAUGCAAGAAAGCUAGGGGAGCAAACAG